AUUGGACAAUGGGCGCAAGCCUGAUCCAGCCAUACCGCGUGGGUGAAGAAGGCUUCGGGUUGUAAAGCCCUUUUGUUGGGAAAGAAAUCCAGCCGGCUAAUACCUGGUUGGGAUGACGGUACCCAAAGAAUAAGCACCGGCUAACUUCGUGCCAGCAGCCGCGGUAAUACGAAGGGUGCAAGCGUUACUCGGAAUUACUGGGCGUAAAGCGUGCGUAGGUGGUCGUUUAAGUCCGUUGUGAAAGCCCUGGGCUCAACCUGGGAACUGCAGUGGAUACUGGGCGACUAGAGUGUGGUAGAGGGUAGCGGAAUUCCUGGUGUAGCAGUGAAAUGCGUAGAGAUCAGGAGGAACAUCCAUGGCGAAGGCAGCUACCUGGACCAAYACUGAYACUGAGGCACGAAAGCGUGGGGAGCAAACAGGAUUAGAUACCCUGGUAGUCCACGCCCUAAACGAUGCGAACUGGAUGUUGGGUGCAAUUUGGCACGCAGUAUCGAAGUAACGCGUUAAGUUCGCCG
rnacentral:rRNA from 1 species